UCCGGUGUGGUGUAAAGGUUAACAUUCCUCGUUUUCACCAAGGAGCUCGGGGUUCGAUCCCCCGUGCCGGAA
rnacentral:tRNA from 1 species